AUGUGUUCCAUGAUGUAAGGCCCAGUUUCUUCAUCAGUGGCCCGGAUCAGUGCGUGUAAAUGGCCCAGCCAUUUUAUUGUCUAGUGAGACCACCGAGCGGCGUCGUUUUGGGAGGUAUGUUUAUCUCCUCUGUUUUCCGUUUCUUUCUCCCUUCUCUUCCGCAGUUUCGGUUUCUUCCGCACGUCUCUCGCGCACGUCUCCUUCUUUUCUUUCGGUUUCUUCUUAUUUCUUGUUGCUGCGUUAGUCUGUGGGUUCCGAUUCUCUGCCCUAGUUUCCUCAUUGUUGCGGUUUCUCUCUUGCACUGCUUAUUAUUCCAGUGAGUUGCCGUCUGCUACACUCUGUUUUCUCUCCAUUUUCACGUUUCUGUUCUUCCUCUACAAGUCAGCGAGCAGUACCUCUCUUUCCUCCAUUUUUUCGACUGUUUCUGUUUUGGCCGUGAGUUUUGAGUAGCAUUUUGUGAGUUUUCUGGUUGCUGUGCGUG